CAGUGACUUUACCGUCAAACCACCGCGAAUAAUACCGUGACGUUGCCUCGGCGGGCGCUGCGGCGCUGGGCCUUCUGGGUCCUUCCCGCGGCGUCGAGCCCGCCGGCGGCCUUAAACUCUGUCUCUUCAGCGUUAUAUCUCUGAGUCUCAUAUAAUGAGUCA
rnacentral:misc_RNA from 1 species